rnacentral:rRNA from 1 species
AUUGAACGCUGGCGGCAGGCUUAACACAUGCAAGUCGAGCGGGGGAAGGUAGCUUGCUACCGGACCUAGCGGCGGACGGGUGAGUAAUGCUUAGGAAUCUGCCUAUUAGUGGGGGACAACAUCUCGAAAGGGAUGCUAAUACCGCAUACGUCCUACGGGAGAAAGCAGGGGAUCUUCGGACCUUGCGCUAAUAGAUGAGCCUAAGUCGGAUUAGCUAGUUGGUGGGGUAAAGGACUACCAAGGCGACGAUCUGUAGCGGGUCUGAGAGGAUGAGCCGCCACACGGGGACUGAGACACGGCCAAGACUCCUACGGGAGGCAGCUGUGGGGAAUAUUGGACAAUGGGGGGAACCCUGAUCCAGCCAUGCCGCGUGUUUGAAGAAGGCCUUAUGGUUGUAAAGCACUUUAAGCGAGGAGGAGGCUACUUUAGUUAAUACCUAGAGAUAGUGGACGUUACUCGCAGUAUAAGCACCGGCUAACUCUGUGCCAGCCGCCGCCAUAA